UACGAAGGGGGCUAGCGUUGCUCGGAAUCACUGGGCGUAAGGCGCACGUAGGCGGGUUGCCAAGUCGGGGGUGAAGUCCUGGAGCUCAACUCCAGAACUGCCUUCGAUACUGGCGAUCUUGGAGUCCGGGAGAGGUGAGUGGAACUGCGAGUGUAGAGGUGAAAUUCGUAGACAUUCGCAAGACCACCAGUGGCGAGGGCGGCUCACUGGCCCGGUACUGACGCUGAGGUGCGAAAGCGUUGGGAGCAAACAGG
rnacentral:rRNA from 1 species